GACGAACGCUGGCGGCGUGCUUAACACAUGCCAGUCGAACGCUGAAGACCUGGCUUUUGUUGGGUUGGAUGAGUGGCGAACGGGUGAGUAACACGUGAGUAACCUGCCCUCUUCUUUGGGAUAACGCCCGGAAACGGGUGCUAAUACUGGAUAUUCACUGGCCUUCGCAUGGGGGUUGGUGGGAAGGUUUGUUCUGGUGGGGGAUGGGCUCGCGGCCUAUCAGCUUGUUGGUGGGGUGAUGGCCUACCAAGGCUUUGACGGGUAGCCGGCCUGAGAGGGUGACCGGUCACAUUGGGACUGAGAUACGGCCCAGACUCCUACGGGAGGCAGCAGUGGGGAAUAUUGCACAAUGGGCGAAAGCCUGAUGCAGCGACGCCGCGUGAGGGAUGGAGGCCUUCGGGUUGUAAACCUCUUUCGCUCAUGGUCAAGCCGCAACUGUGGGUUGUGGUGAGGGUAGUGGGUAAAGAAGCGCCGGCUAACUACGUG
rnacentral:rRNA from 1 species